UACGUAGGUGACAAGCGUUGUCCGGAUUUACUGGGCGUAAAGAGCGCGCAGGCGGUCGUUCAAGUCGAGUGUGAAAGCCCCCGGCUCAACUGGGGAGGGUCACUCGAUACUGAUCGACUCGAAGGCAGGAGAGGGUAGUGGAAUUCCCGGUGUAGUGGUGAAAUGCGUAGAUAUCGGGAGGAACACCUGCGGCGAAGGCGGGUUGCUGGGCUGACACUGACGCUGAGGCGCGAAAGCCAGGGGAGCGAACGGG
rnacentral:rRNA from 1 species